UACGUAGGGGGCGAGCGUUGUCCGGAUUUAUUGGGCGUAAAGAGCUCGUAGGCGGUUUGGUAAGUCGGAUGUGAAAUCUCCAGGCUCAACCUGGAGGGGUCAUUCGAGACUGCUAUGACUAGAGUUCGGUAGAGGAGUGUGGAAUUCCUGGUGGAGCGGUGAAAUGCGCAGAUAUCAGGAGGAACACCCGUAGCGAAGGCGGCACUCUGGGCCGAUACUGACGCUGAUGAGCGAAAGCGUGGGGAGCAAACAGG
rnacentral:rRNA from 1 species